rnacentral:rRNA from 1 species
AUGAGUUGCUUAUUCUGGAACUGUCGAGGGGCAGGGAACUCUCGUACAGUUCGUGACCUUCAGGCUCUUUGUCGAGCACAUUCCCCGAAACUGGUGUUUUUAUGUGAAACUAGACAGCCAAAACAGAAAAUGGAGAGAGUACGUAACAGACUUGGACUGAAGGGUUUUGAUGGUGUAAGUAGUCAAGGAAAAAGUGGCGGCCUAGCCUUGUACUGGGAUGAAAAC